AGGAGGUUGUGGUGGAGGAAGUGCAGGUUAUAGAUGAGGAUUUGGAGCCAAUAUUGGUGCUGAUGGCGGUGUUUUCAAUGUCAAUUUGUAUAUAAUAACUUGUUUGUGUUGCUUGCAGUGAAUAUUUGGUAUGUAGAGGAUCUGCAGGCUAGGUAAAGUGAAAAAAUAGGGAUUGAAAUCAGGAUUUUUGGUGUUUGGUCUGAUUGGAACAAGUCAAGUUAGUGAUGAAGGUGAUGUUGAGUUCAAGGCUGUUCUUUUUGUUCCUCCAAAGGCUCCUCAUGAUCUGUAUGGGAGUUACUACAAUGCUAACAAGUCCAACUUGAAGUUAUACGUCAGACGUGUCUUCAUCUCAGAUGGAUUCGAUGAUCUUCUGCCCAAGUACCUGAACUUUUUGAUGGGAAACACAUUAGGAAGUUGGUUAAAGAUGGAUUCAUCAGCUGCAAACCAAACCACAUUCACUCUCCAUAUCAUGCACGGAGAAUGA